UACAGAGGGUGCGAGCGUUAAUCGGAUUUACUGGGCGUAAAGCGUGUGUAGGUGGCUUCCUAAGUCGAUUGUGAAAUCCCUGGGCUCAACCUGGGAAUUGCAGUCGAUACUGGGGAGCUCGAGUUCGGUAGAGGACGGCGGAAUUCCCGGUGUAGCGGUGAAAUGCGUAGAUAUCGGGAGGAACAUCGAUGGCGAAAGCAACCGUCUGGGCCUGAACUGACACUGAGGCACGAAAGUGUGGGGAUCAAACAGG
rnacentral:rRNA from 1 species